AAACCAAAAAAAAAAAAAAAAAAAAGCUCCUGCACUUCAAGAGAUCUUGCCAUAUUGGCCUUUGGUGGGCCAGCCAAGGAAAGCAGAGGUGUCUCUAGUGGCAUUUCCCAAAGACUAUGUAGCCCACGAUGACAAUAGACUGACACGGAAGCAGAUAUGAGAAUCUCUCAGUUUCCUACCAAGUCAGACGCCAGAUUUGCAAAAAAUCAAGAAUAUUGACAUUCCCCCUUUUUGUUUCAGAAUAUAUAAUUAUUUUUCAUAAAAGAUUACUACUUUAUUUCUUAAGUUUUUGGAGACAGCUCUCACUGUAUAGCCCCCGAUGGGUGGUACUGUGGCACGUUUGUUUUCGCUGCAGAAUAUUACUUUAACUGUGCAAAUGUGUGCUGCUCUAAUUUAUGCUGCAUUUGUUUAAUUACGUAAAGAUGUGCUGCAUCUGUUUCACCUUGCCUGCCUGAGGACCUGAUUGGCGUGAUAGAGAGCGAGGCAGAGAAAGGUGCUGGCGAUCAAACCAAGGAAUGAGCUACCAACUGGGCUGCUGCACAGUCCUUGAGCAUCACAGUCCUUGAGCAUCACCUGCCCAGAACAGAGCCGUCCAGGGCUGAGAGGAAAAGGUCAAUUUAUCACCGUUACCACUAUCCACACGUGGGAACGAUGGCUAAUCUGAGAAAUUAAGCCAUCUAUCUAUCUAUCUAUCUAUCUAUCUAUCUAUCUAUCUAUCUAUCCAUCAUAUCUACCUACCAUCUAUGUAUAAUCUAUCAUAUCUAUCAUCUAUCCAUCCA